AAAGUUGGAUCAGCCUGUAGUGUUUUUUUCCACUUUAAUUUUGAGUAACUCCAAAUCCAGACCUCCAUGGGUUGCUAAAUUUGAUUUCCAUUGAUAAUUUUUGUGUAAUUUUGUUGCCAGCACAUUUAACUAUGUAAUGAAUAAAGUAUUUAAUAAGAAUAUUUCAUUCAUUCAGAUCUAGGAUGUCUUAUUUUUCUGUUCCCUUUAUUUUUUUGAGCAGUGUAUUUGAGUUAGCAGGGGAG